GUGCAAAUGUCACGUAUCACUGGUCUAUGAGUAAAAUGCCUCCAGAAUAAAAGUAGUGAAACUUUACCAAGUUUGUGUCACUGAUAAGGAAAAAUUCAGUCCAAAAUGCUGUUUGGUUGUAAUU